AUGUUUACAAGACAGUCCUAUCAUUCGGUUGAAACCACGAUCAAAAUAAAAGCGCAUCUGGCUGCACAUUUGAGAACACACACAGAGACCCGGGCAAGCGAGCGCGCCCAGAAAGAAGAACGGCAGAGAAAAAGAAUCUUCUUAAACUCAAGCCAUCAGAACCUACAUUUCCUAAUUUUCCUGCUGAUGUUGAACUGAAGAACCUCUUUCCAGGAGAAAGCUACAUACGAUAUUGCAGUCUUCAGAAGAACAUCAAAAUUCAUGUACUCCAAAAUUAGACUUCCUUUAUCAGUCUUGUCCAUCCUAACACAACCCUGAUUUCUAUCUGCACAAAACUUCUCUGGGUAUCUUGUAAAGCACACUGACUUGUUCUGUUGUUGUUGUUGUUAUUGUUUUUUGUAUUUUGUUUUGCAGUACUGGAGAUUACAUCCAGAGAGUGCUGAGUGACACUGUCCCCAACCCUUCUAAGUUUUAUUUUGAGACAGCGUCUCUAAAUUGCCCAGGCUGGUCUUAAACUUGCAAUCCUUCUUUGGCCUCCCAAGUAACUAGGAUUACAGACAUCAUGUGAUUCUGAGUCUGGCCUGACUCUCUUAUUCUUUUUCUUUUUAGCAUAGACUUGAACUCAAGGCAAUCCUCCCUGCCUCAGCCUCCUGCGUACUGGGAUUACAGGUGUGAGUUACCACAUCUAUCCUGACCCUCUUUUUUUUUUUUUUUUUUUUGGUAUGGGGAUCGAACUCGGGUCCUUAGCUUGCGAGGCAGGCGGUGGAACCACUGAGCUAAAUCCCCGGCCCCUAUCCUGACACUCUUAAUCUUAACUACUUUUAAUACUUUUUUUCAUAACUGCAAUUCCAAAUCUUUCACUUUAACAGGAAAAGAGAAACUUGUCAUUUCAGGCCCUCAGUUGUAUACUCAGUACUGUCUAGAUUAUAACUUCCAUGCAAUACAGAGAAAAG
rnacentral:lncRNA from 1 species